UUACCCUGUUUUAUGACCCUGAGAGUCCUUAUUGCUCUCAAAUUCUCUCAUUAUGUAUCUCACUUCUUGAAUAGUGUCUAUCUCCUUUGUGAGAGCAGGAUUUAAAUUGUUCACCUGCAUUAUCCCCAGGGCUUAGCACAGUGGCUCAUAGUAGAUGGUCAGUAAAUAUUUGUUGAAUGACUGAAAGGUGUCAGAGGCAAUUCCGGUCUAGAAGAGGAAAUCCUGAUUAGAGGACUCAGAAUGUUGUUAUCUUGACCCUGUUACGGCAGAGAAGGACCCUGAACAAGACAGGCCAAGACCCAGACUGAAAUGUAACCAUCAGAAUGGAUAAGUGUACCUGCAGCGACUGAGAGAUGGCCCAGCCCUGCAGCCAAGUCAAGAGCCAAAAGACACCACACAACAGCAGGUCGUGUCCUGGUGCUCUUGACAUUUCUCCAGCCAAACUUGUAAGCAGCCUUUUUCUGCAUCAGAUCACUUGUCACCAUGGUCGUCGUCGUCAUCGUCAUCAUCAUCAUCAUCAAAAGGCAGGAUUGAGCCACCAAAACUACAGUCUGGCAUCCUACGUAUCUCCCAAGGCAAUUUCAGAAAGAACAAUCGACUUUGGUUACACAGAAAAUGGCUAGUGAGGGCAUCGUGGAGUCAACCAACCUGGGUGCAGACCUCAACAGGAUCAUGUACUAAUCAAGUGCUCUUAGGAUCAAGAAGGCCUCCACACUUCCUAGGCUGAUGUCAUGAAGGGCCGUCAGCUUUCCCAUAUGACGCCCCUCUGUAUCCCUGUCACAGGUAACUGCGUGGGUUGGGUGCACCAUGGGACCAGCCCAAAUUGCUAGGGAAGAGCACCCACAAGGGAAUUGGGAAACCUGAGUGGAAGGCCUGUCCCUGUGUGAUCUUGUCACUUUCCCUCUCCAAGCCUCGGUUUCCUAUCUGUUAAAUGAGCACAUUGGAUUAGAGAUCUUUAAGGUCUCUUCCAUCUCUGAACAUUCUCGGGUUCUCACAUCCAAAGGGAGACAGUCAAGAUGCAAAAAGUAAAACCUAGGUACUCAGCUCAGUGUCUGGGGUGCAGUUGAAGGAGACAUCUUGCAGGCUCCUAAGUUCCAGGGCUCUAACCCUGGACCCUUGGCCUAGAAGAGACCACAAGGCCAGCUGUCCAGCCUGCCAUCUCCCGCUGAGCACACUCCCCACCUCCCCACCCCCCAGGCUAGAAAUUGCCCCCUAGAGCAGAGAGUGGUGUUAAACAGCUUGGGCUUUGAAUCCACAUUGAAGUUCUGACCCUGUCACAGAGAACUCAGGAUAGUGAGAGAGACAAGUGGUUGGGCUCAAGGCUCAAAGACUGAAGCUCAGAUCCAUGCGCCUCUGGGCAAGUUAUUUAAUCUCUCUAACUUUGGUCUCCUUAUCUAUUGAAUAGGAAUGAUAAUAAUAGUCCAAAUUGCAUAGGGCUGCUGUGAAGAUCAGAUAAGAUAGUGCCUGUAAAGCACCUAACCCAGGCUCUUGGUUUAGUCAAAAUGUAGAAGUUGUUGUUGUUGUUGUUGUUAUUAUUAUUAUUAUUGCCUACUCAUUGGAAGCUUUUCUUGAUGUUCAUGUGAACCAGGAAA